GGAGGGGUGGCCGAGUGGUUAAAGGCGGCAGUCUGUAAAACUGUUGACAUUUGUCUACGUUGGUUCGAAUCCAACCCCCUCCACCA
rnacentral:tRNA from 3 species